AUUGAACGCUGGCGGCAUGCCUUACACAUGCAAGUCGAACGGCAGCACGGGAGCAAUCCUGGUGGCGAGUGGCGAACGGGUGAGUAAAGUAUCGGAACGUGCCCAGUCGUGUGGGAUAACGUAGCGAAAGUUACGCUAAUACCGCAUACGAUCUAUGGAUGAAAGCGGGGGAUCGCAAGACCUCGCGCGAUUGGAGCGGCCGAGAUCAGAUUAGGUAGUUGGUGGGGUAAAGGCUCACCAAGCCGACGAUCUGUAGCUGGUCUGAGAGGACGACCAGCCACACUGGGACUGAGACACGGCCCAGACUCCUACGGGAGGCAGCAGUGGGGAAUUUUGGACAAUGGGCGAAAGCCUGAUCCAGCCAUGCCGCGUGCAGGAUGAAGGCCUUCGGGUUGUAAACUGCUUUUGUACGGAACGAAAAGGUUUGGCCUAAUAAGCUGAGCUCAUGACGGUACUGUAAGAAUAAGCACCGGCUAACUACGUGCCAGCAGCCGCCGUAA
rnacentral:rRNA from 1 species